rnacentral:rRNA from 1 species
GAUGAACGCUGGCGGCGUGCCUAAUACAUGCAAGUCGAGCGAAUGGAUUAAGAGCUUGCUCUUAUGAAGUUAGCGGCGGACGGGUGAGUAACACGUGGGUAACCUGCCCAUAAGACUGGGAUAACUCCGGGAAACCGGGGCUAAUACCGGAUAACAUUUUGAACCGCAUGGUUCGAAAUUGAAAGGCGGCUUCGGCUGUCACUUAUGGAUGGACCCGCGUCGCAUUAGCUAGUUGGUGAGGUAACGGCUCACCAAGGCAACGAUGCGUAGCCGACCUGAGAAGGUGAUCGGCCACACUGGGACUUGGACACGGCCCAGACUCCUACGGGAGGCAGCAGUAGGGAAUCUUCCGCAAUGGACGAAAGUCUGACGGAGCAACGCCGCGUGAGUGAUGAAGGCUUUCGGGUCGUAAAACUCUGUUGUUAGGGAAGAACAAGUGCUAGUUGAAUAAGCUGGCACCUUGACGGUACCUAACCAGAAAGCCACGGCUAACUACGUGCCAGCAGCCGCCGUAA